AUUGUACGCUGGCGGCAGGCCUAACACAUGCACGUCGAGCGAGCGGCGGACGGGUGAGUACUGUCUGGGAAACUGCCUGAUGGAGGGGGAUAACUACUGGAAACGGUAGCUAAUACCGCAUACCAUCAGAUGUGCCCAGAUGGGAAUAGCUAGUAGGUGGGGUAACGGCUCAACUAGGCGACGAUCCCUAGCUGGUCUGAGAGGAUGAUCAGCCACACUGUAACUGAGACACGGUCCAGACUCCUACGGGAGGCAGCAGUGGGGAAUAUUGCACAAGGGGCGCAAGCCUGAUGCAGCCAUGCCGCGUGUGUGAAGAAGGCCUGCGGGUUGUAAAGCACUUUCAGCGGGGAGGCGUGACCCGCAGAAGAAGCACCGGCUAACUCCGUGCCAGCAGCCGCGGUAAUAC
rnacentral:rRNA from 1 species